rnacentral:rRNA from 1 species
CAGUCGCCGCGGGAAUACGUAGGUGGCAAGCGUUGUCCGGAAUUAUUGGGCGUAAAAGGCUCGCAGGCGGUUUCUUAAGUCUGAUGUGAAAGCCCCCGGCUCAACCGGGGAGGGUCAUUGGAAACUGGGAAACUUGAGUGCAGAAGAGGAGAGUGGAAUUCCACGUGUAGCGGUGAAAUGCGUAGAGAUGUGGAGGAACACCAGUGGCGAAGGCGACUCUCUGGUCUGUAACUGACGCUGAGGAGCGAAAGCGUGGGGAGCGAACAGGAUUAGAUACCCCCGUAGUCCCUGUCUCUUAUAC